GGACCAGCAGACGCUUGCCCUCUGUCAGUACCCGAAGCAGGAACAGGCAGGACUUGUGGACUUUUGGAUUCACUUUGUUUCCUUCAUUUUCUGAUUAAUUGCUUGGGAAGAAAGAUGGAUGACAAAGCAAUGCCAGCAUCCAGAGCACACAGCCCGAGGCUUUGAAGUCACUGGAAACUGACAAUUACUUUGAG
rnacentral:lncRNA from 1 species